rnacentral:rRNA from 1 species
AUGAAAGGAAACACGAUUUAUUAAUUGUAUCUAAUUUAUUCACCAAAAUUAUCAUAACUAGUCAUAAGACAAUUACAAUAAAGUAGGACGACAAGACCCUCCGAACUUCACUUCAUUUUUCACUGGGAAGGUCAAAAACUAAAUCUUUUUAAACCAUCUAAUAAACGCACCAAAUUGAAAUAAACCAAGUUACCGAAGGGAUAACAGCAUAAUAAUUUAAUAAAGCCCUCAUUAAAUAAAUUGAUUAUGACCUCGAUGUUGAAUUAACAACUCUAUUUACAGAAAAAAGUAGAAAAGAAAGUCUGUUCGACUUUUAAAUUGUUACAU